GACGAACGCUGGCGGCGUGCCUAACACAUGCAAGUCGAGCGGAGUCAGUAAGAGGAAGUUUUCGGAUGGAAUCUUAUUGAUUUAGCGGCGGACGGGUGAGUAACGCGUGAGCGACCAACCUUGCACAGGGGGAUAACGGACCGAAAGGUUCACUAAUACCGCAUAAGACCACGGUGUUGCAUGACACAGAGGUCAAAGGAGCAAUCCGGUGCAAGACGGGCUCGCGUCCGAUUGGUAGUUGGAGGGGUAACGGCCCACCAAGCCUAUGAUCGGUAGGCGACCUGGGAGGGUGAUCGGCCACAUUGGAACUGAGAUACGGUCCAAACUCCUACGGGAGGCAGCAGUGGGGAAUAUUGGGCAAUGGGGGAAACCCUGACCCAGCAACGCCGCGUGAAGGAAGAAGGUUUUCGGAUUGUAAACUUCUGUCCUUGGUGAAGAGAAGAAGACGGUAGCCAAGGAGGAAGCCCCGGCUAACUACGUGCCAGCAGCCGCCGUAA
rnacentral:rRNA from 1 species